UUUCCGUAGGUGAACCUGCGGAAGGAUCAUUACUGAGUGAGGGCCCUCUGGGUCCAACCUCCCACCCGUGUUUAUUGUACCUUGUUGCUUCGGUGCGCCCGCCUCACGGCCGCCGGGGGGCUUCUGCCCCCGGGUCCGCGCGCACCGGAGACACCAUUGAACUCUGUCUGAAGAUUGCAGUCUGAGCAUAAACUAAAUAAGUUAAAACUUUCAACAACGGAUCUCUUGGUUCCGGCAUCGAUGAAGAACGCAGCGAAAUGCGAUAACUAAUGUGAAUUGCAGAAUUCAGUGAAUCAUCGAGUCUUUGAACGCACAUUGCGCCCCCUGGUAUUCCGGGGGGCAUGCCUGUCCGAGCGUCAUUGCUGCCCUCAAGCACGGCUUGUGUGUUGGGCUCCGUCCCCCCGGGGACGGGCCCGAAAGGCAGCGGCGGCACCGAGUCCGGUCCUCGAGCGUAUGGGGCUUUGUCACCCGCUCUGUAGGCCCGGCCGGCGCCAGCCGACAACCCAUCAUCCUUUUCAGGUUGACCUCGGAUCAGGUAGGGAUACCCGCUGAACUUAA
rnacentral:rRNA from 1 species